UGGGGAAUUUUGGACAAUGGGCGAAAGCCUGAUCCAGCAAUGCCGCGUGUGUGAAGAAGGCCUUCGGGUUGUAAAGCACUUUUGUCCGGAAAGAAAUCCUUGGCUCUAAUACAGUCGGGGGAUGACGGUACCGGAAGAAUAAGCACCGGCUAACUACGUGCCAGCAGCCGCGGUAAUACGUAGGGUGCAAGCGUUAAUCGGAAUUACUGGGCGUAAAGCGUGCGCAGGCGGUUUGCUAAGACCGAUGUGAAAUCCCCGGGCUCAACCUGGGAACUGCAUUGGUGACUGGCAGGCUAGAGUAUGGCAGAGGGGGGUAGAAUUCCACGUGUAGCAGUGAAAUGCGUAGAGAUGUGGAGGAAUACCGAUGGCGAAGGCAGCCCCCUGGGCCAAUACUGACGCUCAUGCACGAAAGCGUGGGGAGCAAACAGGAUUAGAUACCCUGGUAGUCCACGCCCUAAACGAUGUCACUAGUUGUUGGGGAUUCAUUUCUUAGUAACGUAGCUAACGCGUGAAGUUGACCGCCUGGGGAGUACGGUCGCAAGAUUAAAACUC
rnacentral:rRNA from 1 species